UACGAGGGGGGCAAAUGUUGUUCGGAAUCACUGGGCUUAAAGGGCGCGUAGGCGGGCUGCCAAGUCUGGGGUGAAAUCCCACGGCUCAACCGUGGAACUGCCUCGGAUACUGGCGGUCUCGAGGGAGGUAGGGGCAUGCGGAACUGUGGGUGGAGCGGUGAAAUGCGUUGAUAUCCACAGGAACUCCGGUGGCGAAAGCGGCGUGCUGGACCUCUUCUGACGCUGAGGCGCGAAAGCGUGGGUAGCAAACAGG
rnacentral:rRNA from 1 species